GAUGAACGCUGGCGGCGUGCCUAAUACAUGCAAGUCGAGCGAACAGAUGAGGAGCUUGCUCCUCUGACGUUAGCGGCGGACGGGUGAGUAACACGUGGAUAACCUACCUAUAAGACUGGGAUAACUUCGGGAAACCGGAGCUAAUACCGGAUAAUAUAUUGAACCGCAUGGAUCAAUAGUGAAAGACGGUUUUGCUGUCACUUAUAGCUGGAUCCGCGCCGCAUUAGCUAGUUGGUAAGGUAACGGCUUACCAAGGCAACGAUGCGUAGCCGACCUGAGAGGGUGAUCAGCCACACUGGAACUGAGACACGGUCCAGACUCCUACGGGAGGCAGCAGUAGGGAAUCUUCCGCAAUGGGCGAAAGCCUGACGGAGCAACGCCGCGUGAGUGAUGAAGGUCUUCGGAUCGUAAAACUCUGUUAUUAGGGAAGAACAAAUGUGUAAGUAACUAUGCACGUCUUGACGGUACCUAAUCAGAAAGCCACGGCUAACUACGUG
rnacentral:rRNA from 1 species